rnacentral:rRNA from 1 species
GACGAACGCUGGCGGCGUGCUUAACACAUGCAAGUCGAACGGGUCUGCCCUGUUUUUUGCGGGGUGGGUCAGUGGCGAACGGGUGAGUAACACGUGAGUAACCUGCCCCUCACUUCUGGAUAACCGCUUGAAAGGGUGGCUAAUACGGGGUGUUCUGGCUGUGCCGCAUGGUGUGGCUGGGAAAGAUUCACUUUUGUGGUGUUUUGGUGGGGGAUGGGCUCGCGGCCUAUCAGCUUGUUGGUGGGGUGAUGGCCUGCCAAGGCUUUGACGGGUAGCCGGCCUGGGAGGGUGGGCGGUCACACUGGGACUGAGAUACGGCCCAGACUGCUGCGGGAGGCAGCAGUGGGGGGUAUUGCACAAUGGGCGGAAGCCUGAUGCAGCGACGUCGCGUGAGGGAUGGAGGCCUUCGGGUUGUGAACCUCUUUCGCCGGUGAAGAAGGUCCUGCUCUUUGGGGUGGGGUUGACGGUAGCCGGGUUAUGAAGCGCCGGCUAACUACGUG